CCUACGGGUGGCUGCAGUGGGGGAUAUUGCACAAUGGGCGGAACCCUGAUGCAGCGACGCCGCGUGGGUGAAGGAGCGUUUCGGCGCGUAAAGCCCUAUCGGCAGGGAAGAAGAUGACGGUAUCUGACCAAGAAGCCCCGGCUAACUACGUGCCAGCAGCCGCGGGAAUACGGAGGGGGCAAGCGUUAUCCGGAUGUACUGGGUGUAAAGGGGGCGCAGACGGCAAUGCAAGCCAGGCGUGAAAGCCCGGGGCCAAACCCCGGGACUGCACUUGGAACUGGAUGGCUGGAGUACAGGAGGGGCAGGCGGAAUUCCGAGUGUAGCGGUGAAAUGCGUAGAUAUUAGGAGGAACACCGGUGGCGAAGGCGGCCUGCUGGACUGUGACUGACGUUGAGGCCCGAAGGCGUGGGGAGCAAACAGGAUUAGAUACCCUUGUAGUC
rnacentral:rRNA from 1 species